GGAUUUUUGUCCCCUAAAAAAGCCCAUAAAUGGGUAAUGCAUACAGAUUGAAGCAAUGUGGCAACCAGGAGGUGGGGAAGGGGACAGAUGAAGUGGAUAUAUGGAGACGAAGACCAUUCCAAAUGGGACCAACACAUCCUGUCCUGGCUUCAAACCAUUGCCACCUUCCUUGGUUUGCAUCUGAUCCUUGAGAGGACAAACACACAGCUUCUCAAAAGCUUCAGCUGAGGAAGACUGGCUGUUCCUCUGAGAUGUCCCUUCCACAGGGCUAUCACUGCUAAAGAUGGCCUGGGCAUUACAUCUGCACAGCGAUGGGAGAAUACCAUGAAAGCCAAGCUCUUUGAAGCCUCAGUGUCACCCACUCUCCGCAAAUGAGCCUCUGCAUGACAGCAAGACCCCAAAACCGAUAGCAGAGGGCAAGGCUUUUGUGGUGACUUGCAAGAGAAGUCAAUGUCAGAAGGAAUGUAAUGAAAUAUUCAUUCCUUCUGUUAAGGAAAUUCAGAGAAAGGCAGGAAGAAGGAACCAAAUGUGAGAUCAAGACAGGAAGAUGUGUCCUGCUCAUUUCAUUUGCAUUUCUGUAGCCCAGAGCAGGGAGAAGAGAGCUCUGGCUCCUCACCAUCAGGCUGAGGACAGCAGCAGAAGGAAAGUCCCAAAGAACAUGAAGAGACAAGAAACUCCUCCUGAAACUGCAAGGGAGAAAAAUGUGGGUUUAUCUGAAAUUCAUCAAAGGGAGAACAUUGCUACAAGAAAUACGUCUUUAUUGUCUCUCACAUAUAAGGGCACAGAAGCAGGCAAGAAGUCUGUCUGCUGAUUUUCUCCCAAAGUCCUGCUGCCCACUCUGGCAGCCCCAUCCCACUGCCUGCCCAGUGCCUCCCAUCAUUGAGCAGGAGCUGCCUUCUGAGCUUGGCAUGAACAAAUACAGCUUAGUAUUUUGCAUCUCUUUUGCUUUUGGGAAAGGGUUUCUAAAUAUGAAGCCCAAUAUGAAGUUUUUCCAGCCCAGCCUUUUUCAUUUCUUCUCCUUCCUGCCCUAACAGGAUGAGGACGAGGCACAUCCUUUUUUCCCCUCGAGGCAGCACAACGCUGGUGACGCUGGAGGCAAUGCCCACCUCUGUCCCUUCUCCUCUCUCCAUGAGAUUACUGAGUGGCACUGGCUGGCUGAAUUAAUGCUCGAGUGUUCCCCAUCAAAAAUGUUCUACGGGAGUGCAAAGCACUAAU